rnacentral:lncRNA from 1 species
AUCAUCCUCCAUGUCGACCAUUUUCCCGUCCACCACGGUCUUGAAAAAACCCAUCCUUGUCACAUCUAGGUCGGGUAUGAGACACAAAGCUUGAGCUUUAGCUCUUUUGAAGGCAUCAUCCCCAACAGAGAGCAAAUCCACCUGGCCAUCUUGCAAAGACUAUUUUAAAUUAUUAUUAAACACUCGAUCCUAUUAUAAUUCAUGGACCAUGUAGGCAUUGGUUGCUUCCCACUCUGAGCACUUGGCUUCAGC